rnacentral:rRNA from 1 species
UACGAAGGGGCUAGCGUUGCUCGGAAUCACUGGGCGUAAGGGUGCGUAGGCGGGUCUUUAAGUCAGGGUGAAUCCUGGAGCUCAACUCCAGAACUGCCUUUGAUACUGAAUAUCGUUGAGUUCGGGAGAGGUGAGUGGAACUGCGAGUGUAGAGGUGAAAUUCGUAGAUAUUCGCAAGAACACCAGUGGCGAAGGCGGCUCACUGGCCCGGUACUGACGCUGAUGUGCGAAAGCGUGGGAACAACAGGAU